UGGUAUGAAGAUAAAGCUGAAAUGUUUCAUGUGACAAACCGUUGGACUACGAGCAGGAAUCAAACUGUCACAUCUGAAUCUGGUUCCUCCCGGCCCAUACUUGAAAAAGUUUGUACUGUAGCAAUCCAGAGGUCUGUGCUGUACUCCCUCUGAUGAAAAGCCUGAUGCAAGGUCUCACAAACCUGGGAAACACCUACUACACAUCAAAAACUGGGUUCCUUUGGUCUAAAAGCUGUGGAUGGAAAGACAGAGUGUGUGUGCUGAGGGGCAGUUACUCCCUGUCUCGGAAUGGAAAUCACCCUUGAGCAACAAGAACAACGUGUACUAAAGAUUCACUGGUAUGUGUGAAAACUCUCAGUUAGAGACUCCUUUUCCUUACAAUGAAUUUCCUGACACAGCGUCUGCUGUUGCCUUACGUUACUCUGGAUAUUUUCAUCAGAUACCCAGUAAUCAUCUACUUGCAGAGAAGAUGCUGAUUCUUCCUAACACCACGUCUUUACCUUCUGCUGUGUUGUCUGUUCUUCAAAAAAUAUUCUUGCACCUGCUGGCCUUCAAAGGAAUGAGAUCCUGUGGUUUUAAAUUCCCAGUCUGUUUUUUGGUAAAAUACAGAAGCAACAUCAUAAAGCUUACAUCAAAGUCCUACACUAGAAGGGAAGAGGAAAGCAGAAGGGAUGCUGUGUUAUCUUUACCAACUAGCUCACUGCAGCUAGCAUUCAGUGGCUUUGCUGGGGCUGGAUUCUGCCACAACUCACCUGCCUGGAAGCCCCACAGUGAAGUUCAAGCCUGUCUGCAAACUGCAAGUGCAACGGAACUGAAUUAAAAGGUUUUUAAAAGCAUAUGCAGCAUUAAAUGUUAAACACCCCAUGAUUAUCAAGCCUCAAAGUGUGAUAUGAUCCAGAUUCUUCUCUGCCUCAUUUAGUGUCAGAUUAAUGAGAACAUAGGGUGCUGGGUGAGGAUCUUCUGAGCACCAGUCAGCCCAGUUCAUGAAAGAGCUCUUUAUUCUCCAGCAAAAUAGAGAAUGAGACAGAGUUUGGGGUCCUGUGAGGGAAGCAGAGCAUGUGCUUGGUGGGAUGAUGAGCAACUUUGAAGGAAUUUUUAUUUUUUAAACUCGGGGUGGGGACCUGUCUUUCAUGUUCGGUGGAGGGCAGAAAUGCAACAAGUAGUGGACUACAACACAUAAUGCGUGUGUGUCAUGUUAUAGUUUCACUCAGCCUAGAAAAAAUGUUUUUUACUGAAAACUAAGCAAACAUUUUCAGGACUGAGUAAAAAGUAUGCUUUAACACAGUGGCUAGGGAGCAGGAUUAGGGAGGAGCAAAGUGAUUUGAACCCAAGAAAGAUGAAUUAGGCAUAGAAAGAUAAUGCACUGUGUGAGUAUUAAUGUUGCACUGAUAGGUACCUAUAAUAUGGUUCUGAAGACUUUGUCAGAAAACCAUUCAUUCCAACUAUGCCGGUGGCUAUCUAUCUUCUGAACAGUAAAUGUAUGUCCCCCAAAUACCUGCAGUUGUGACUUACGCACUUAAGUAAAAGAUGGUAACUGUGAUGCAGGACUUUUUGGUUCAUUUUUGCAUUAUUUUUGCAGCAUAAAAUUGCCUUAAAGAUCGUGAUAGCAGCCAUGGGACUGUCUUCUGUAGUGGAAGGAUUCUCAGCUAACACAGGCUUUCUGUAACUGCCUCUGUUUCAGCUCCCUCCUUACUGCAAGUAGAGUCGAAAAAAAUUGGAAGCAUAUUUCACAGGUCCAUACUGUAUUGAAUGCAUGCUUCUGUUCACUGUCACCUCAUUUGUAAUCUCCCCAGGCAGAUUAUUUGCACUUACUUUUAUCCUUACAGUUCUCAAAAAUCUACUUAAAGAAUCCAGUCGCCGCAAGACAGACUGUACAGUGCUUGAAACAUCUAGAGAGUUCCAGUGGAAGAGGGACAGGCUAAAGGGAGGGCCGUUGCACUAGCACUAUGCAAACACAGUUUCUGUCUUUACAAGUUUAUAAUGUAAAUAAGGAAUGCUGGAGGAGAAACCAGCUGUACACAGAGGUGAAGGAAGUUGCUCAAGAUGGGAAGGCAGGCCAGCAGAAGAACCAGUUAUAUAUUGCUGUAUUUCACAACAGAGUGCUAUUAUUUUCUGCUGCACCAGAACUUGUACAGAUGCUUACUCCUGUAUGACUUGCUGUAAGAUUUAAUAUAAUACCAUUUCUCCCUCAGUGGACCCAUUCCAAAUUGUCUGCUAGUAUUUCAUUACUGCUGCAUUCUCUAUGCAAAAUAGAGGUAAAUUUUUAUGGAAGUAUUUACAGAAGUGCUGGGAGUUUAAAACUGGAUCUCCAUGCAUUUAGAAGCACCUUCUUUCUUUAUUAAAUCACUAAUAAUAAUGGCCUUAAAAUAUUCUCAGACAUUCUCUGUGAGGCCAACAAAGCAAGUCUGACAUUUCCUAAGCUAAAGCCAUUUCAGAAAAUUGACGAAUUAAAUAAAAUGAAGUUUGAAAUAUUUCCUAAAGCUGUAGUCAGGUAAAUUAUGAAAUGUGAUGGGCCAGGCUCAAUGCUGUGCUUCAAAUUAUUUACAUGAUUGCAGAAAUACAGAAUAGCUGUAUAUGUGUUUUUUUACUUUUGCCACACUCACCAUGACUUUUUACUUGUGAUGAGAUGUGUUUUUCCAAAGUUCAGGACUUCUGUUUUUUUAGAAGCUAUAAGAAAGAUUUGAGCCUUGGCUUGUGGCUUUAUGGGAAAGUAGCUUCAACUUUAACCGUGGAAAAGAGAACACUUCACAAUGGAUGUGACCUAACCUACUUAGACUGUUGGAUAAUUAAAUACAGGGUAAUCUGAACUGGUGGACCAAAGUACCUCCAGACUUACCACACCAUUUCACCUUCCAGUUGCGAUUAGCAUCAACACCAUGACAGGGAAACCUUGUGUUCUUUGAUCUUGUUUUUCUCCAAAAUCGAUCCUAACAUAAGUUAUAAAAUAGUUAAAUAGCAGUAUUACUACAUUUUGGCAAAAAUCUAUUUAUUUGUACACAUAACAAACCAACCCUGGUAAACAUAUUGAGUAUUAUAUUUUAACUGCAGUAAUUUACUUCCGUUUUGCAUGCCACAAAGUGAUGGACCAGAUUAUACAGAAAUUCACGUUUGAAUGAUGUA